rnacentral:tRNA from 1 species
CCCUGGAUAUCCAGUGGUUAGGACUUGGCACUUUUAUUGCUAGGGUCCAGGUUCAAUCCCUGUUCAGGGA